CCUACGGUGGGCAGCAGUGGGGGAUAUUGCACAAUGGGGGGAACCCUGAUGCAGCGACGCCGCGUGGGUGAAGGAGCGUUUCGGCGCGUAAAGCCCUAUCGGCAGGGAAGAAGAUGACGGUACCUGACCAAGAAGCCCCGGCUAACUACGUGCCAGCAGCCGCGGUAAUACGUAGGGGGCAAGCGUUAUCCGGAUUUACUGGGUGUAAAGGGGGCGCAGACGGCAAUGCAAGCCAGGAGUGAAAGCCCGGGGCCCAACCCCGGGACUGCUCUUGGAACUGCAUGGCUGGAGUACAGGAGGGGCAGGCGGAAUACCUAGUGUAGCGGUGAAAUGCGUAGAUAUCAGGAGGAAUACCGUUAGCGAAGGCGGCAAUCUGGCUGGAAACUGACGCUGAGGUGCGAAAGCGUGGGUAGCAAACAGGAUUAGAUACCCGAGUAGUC
rnacentral:rRNA from 1 species